GUUUUCAUUGUUAUUGUUAUUGUUGUUGUUAACAGAUGGUAAGGAUUCUAGAGUUGGUUCUAAGGAUGAUUCUAAUACAGAUUUAGACAAGCUCUCUUUAACUAAUUGCGAUUUCACAAGAGCUGCAUAGGUUGGUUUUGUGUUAUUAUGUUCUAUGUCAUUAACUAACUCAUAUAUUUUGGCCUUAUGGUUAUUAUCGUUAUUUAUUUCUAAAUCAUUUGCAUCUGAAUUAGAUAUAUAUUCACUUUUGUUAUCACUCAGUUCCUCUGAUUGUUCUAAAACAAUGGUAUUAUCAGAGUUAGUAUGUGUUUG